rnacentral:pre_miRNA from 1 species
GUGGACGCUUCGCGCGGCUGCGCCCUGGCCCUCUUGGACAUGGCGGAGACGGUGGUGCCCGGCGGACCGC